UUGCCCAAUGAUUAUAAAAAGAUGCGUUAAGAGGACUUAAUGCUGGAGUUCUUGUCUUUCUCUUUUUUCUGUACUACUUUUUCUUUUCUUUUCUUUGUAUAUCCAGCGUCCUGUGAGCAACGAUUAUGAGAUAUGAGGGCAA